AGAGGACCUUGUUCCCCUGGUGUCCUCCACUUCCUCUGAUGUUUACACUCUUUCUACCUUUUCUUCUUCGGGGCUUCCCUGAACUCUGAGUCCUGCAAGAGAUGGGCUGUCACCUUCCUGCUCCUGCUGCCAAGCCUGUUGCCUGAUGCUCUACGGUCCCCACCACUCUGAACUCUAAACCUCUGGACUCUAAGACAAAAUGGACUCUUCAAUCACUCAAUACUGUUAGGACUUUUGAUGGUACCGUCUUCAAGAAUAGUCAAAGGAAAAUGUUAACAAGACAUGUGCUGACUACAUUCUACCAAGAGGAAAAGAAGAAAUUCUUACAGAGAAGGAAAAAGGAUACUGAAAGUCUACUCUAGCACUUACUAAUAGAGUGUAACAAAUUAUGGGGUUUUAGAAAUUCAAUUUAGCUCUCAACAUGUGCCGCUUCACCACCUGCGUACACAAGAGUCACACCCACACUAGCUCCCUCUGCCAGCUCCACCUCAUUCCUCCUCCUCAUUAGCCAACACCUAAUUACAUACUAAUUGGCUCAGAGAACACAAGCUUGUUAUUGCACUAAAAACACUCAGAGCUCCCCCACAGACAGAUUCUCAUGAAAACCAAAUAUAAAAGGAGUUGGCCUUGUGCCUGGUUUUCAUCAGGACAUAGCUAGAUGCUUCUAGGUCCUUCCUGGCUUUGCUUUCAUGCUUCUAUGAAGUCAUUUUCUUCAGGGACACAUAUGCAUGACAAUUUCAGAAAUAAAGGACUUUAAAAA